GACCGCGUAGCUCAGUUGGCAGAGCGUUGGGCUAGUAUUCCAAAGGUUGUAGGUUCGAUUCCCACUGUGGUCA
rnacentral:tRNA from 1 species